rnacentral:rRNA from 1 species
UACGAAGGGGGCUAGCGUUGUUCGGAAUUACUGGGCGUAAAGGGCGCGUAGGCGGUGUGUCAAGUCAGGCGUGAAAGCCCCGGGCUCAACCUGGGAACAGCGCUUGAGACUGGCACGCUCGAGUUCGGGAGAGGAUGGUGGAAUUCCCAGUGUAGAGGUGAAAUUCGUAGAUAUCGAGAGGAACACCGGUGGCGAAGGCGGCCUUCUGGACAGUGACUGACGCUGAGACGCGAAAGCGUGGGGAGCAAACAGG